GUCGUGAGAUGUUGGGUUAAGUCCCGCAACGAGCGCAACCCUCGUCCCUAGUUACCAGCGGGUUAUGCCGGGCACUCUAGGGAGACUGCCGGUGUCAAACCGGAGGAAGGUGGGGAUGACGUCAAGUCAUCAUGGCCCUUACGUCCAGGGCGACACACGUGCUACAAUGGCCGGUACAGAGCGUCGCCAACCCGCGAGGGUGCGCUAAUCGCUAAAAGCCGGUCUAAGUUCGGAUUGUAGUCUGCAACUCGACUGCAUGAAGCCGGAAUCGCUAGUAAUCGUGGAUCAGCCACGCCACGGUGAAUACGUUCCCGGGCCUUGUACACACCGCCCGUCACGCCAUGGAAGCUGGGGGGACCUGAAGCCGGUGGGCUAACCGCAAGGAGGCAGCCGUCAAAGGUCAAUUCAGUGACUGGGGCGAAGUCGUAACAAGGUAGCCGUAGGGGAACCUGCGGCUGGAUCACCUCCUUUCUGGAGUGACGAGUAGUCCCGACCUCUUGGUCGGGAAGAAAGUCCUCAGAAGUCGCCCGCACUCGAUCGCUUUCUAGCUCGCAUCACUUUCUUUGCGUCGGCCCUUAGCUUGCCCUGAGCGUAGCGAAGGGUGGGGGCCGACUUGCUCUUUGACAACUGAGGGAUGGAUGGUUGUAGCCUGUGGGUUCGCCGCAAGGUGGAUCGACAGACGGGUGUGAGGAAUCAACACCAGUUGCGAGGUCCAUUAUUCGCGUAAGGACCGCGCAAUUUGAAACUGGCCCGAAAUGGCUGGUUUCGAAAUGAAUUUGAGAUCAAACGCAAUAAGGCACACGGUGGAUGCCUUGGCAUCGAGAGGCGAUGAAGGUCGUGAUAAGCUGCGAUAAGCCUGGGGGAGCUGCACAUGAGCUGUGAUCCCAGGAUGA
rnacentral:sRNA from 1 species